UUGUAAAACCGACCAGGACAGGCCAAAAAGCCUAUAAAAGUCAACCCUCCCCAAAGUCAACUCUCAAAGAACGCUGAGAUCUACCCAUCCCCGAGACCCACGCUGUGAAAGCUCCUCUCGCACACUAGAUUUCAGUGUACCUAGGACAAUUUUGUCCAACUCCUGGAUCAGAACCGAGAGAGAGAGAGAGAGAGAGAGAGACAGAGAGAGAUUAUCCAUGCAGAGUAUCAUCCGAAUCACAGGAAAUGGCGAAAAGAAUGCACAAAUAUAGAAGUAACUCGGAAUCCGAUAAAAUAGAUGCCUUAGAGAUCCAAAAGUCGAGUUCAAAAUCUAAUGGGAUCCAAAAUCAGAGCCACAAUAGCCUAACCAAGGCUGCAAGAAGGGCAUGGCGCCCACCCUCCAAUGGCCCAGCUAAGCUGAAGAACAGCCAUGGAGAGAGAGGGGGGCCAAUUCAUAGACUUAGCAUAUCAACUCAACUAGUUUCCCACCUGGGCACACUCCAAAAGUAGAGAGAGAGAGAGAGAGAGAGAGAGAG
rnacentral:lncRNA from 1 species